CCCUGCGCGCUUGCCGUACGCCGCUUCCGGGACGCGCCUGCGGCGACUCCGCUGCAGAAGGUUUGUGCGGCUCCGCGCAGCCUCGCUGACGAAGCGGGGGCGUCUCCGCGGGACGGCAGCGAGCUGCAGCAGCCCCGCACCCUGGCCAGGCUCUUAGUGCAUCUAGGAUCCUGAGCUGCCAGGGGCCUGGCCACUCCUGCCCCGAGCCCUGCCUUGGCUGAGCUGGUCACCGCUGCGUGUCCCGGGCUGCCGGCCUGCCUGUCAUCUGCAGCGCACAGGCCUCUGGAAACCAACCACCUUCUACUUUCUGUCUUAUGAAUUGGACUACUCUAGGUACUUCAGACUCACUCUGUCACCGAGGCUAAGUGAAGUGCAGUGGCGCAAUCUUGGCUGACUACAAGCUCCACCUCCUAUGUUGAAGCAGUUCUUCUUCCUCAGCGUCCGGAGUAGCUGGGACAAAAUUAUCUUUUAAAUGAGCACAAAGUAAAAUUGAUAAGAGUGGACAGUACUUUUAAAAAUACUUGCCUGAUGGUAUAAAAAUGUGAAGUACAUGAACUCUGUGAGCCUUAAAUACCAGAAGAACACUGUGGUUUUGGCCAACAAAUUGGAGGUUGCUCAAGGUGGGUCCUGGGAGCAAAGGCUUCAUGGAACGUUCUCCUUUGUCUAACCGAUUCCUGGUUGUCUCUUGGGCUCCAUGGGGGAGGUCACUCUCCUCUGUUCUGUGAUGUGGCAGCCACUGCUCAGGACUUGAUGUGGUUGUUGAUUUGUUAGUGUCUUUCAGAGGACAGUGCUCUCGGGGACUCUGUCACGUCUCUACUUUCUCCUGGCACCUAGUACAAUGCCUGGCAUGUAGCUGGAGCUCACUGUGUGCACAGAAUGCCCUGGAGCACAGAAGAAAAUUAAGAAAACCAAGAUGUAGUGCUGUCAGCUGUGGCGAAUCCAUUCGGGUCUGCAGCAACCUCAAUUCUUGCCCCUCAGAAGAAAGAAUUUGACUGAAGGCAGGAGAGACUGAGGCAAGUUUUAGGGCAAGAGUGAAAGUUUAUUAAAAACCUUUAGCACAGGAACAUAAGGAAGUAAAGGACACUUGGAAGAGGGCCAAGCAGGUGCCUUGAGAGAUAAGUGUGCUGUGUGACCUUUGACUUGGGGUCUUAUACACUGGGAAGCUUCCAGGGUGCUGCAUCCCUUCCCGUGCCCCCAUUCUUCCCUUGGGGUGGGCUGUCCACAUGCACCCUGUGUUUCUGGAGUUGAACACAUGCUCAUUUGAUGCAUUCUUCUCUUACCAGUAGAACCUUCCCAGAAGGUCACAUACCAGUGAAACGUAGUUGUUUUGCCUCUUAGUGCGCAUGUGUGAGCCCACUUCCCCAGCUCGUGAGAUCUUACUGGGAGACUGCUGCUCACCAGUUUCAGGUGUUUCUACCUAUUGGGAGACUACAUUUCCCUGGUCCCUGCUGCAUCUGAUUAUUGUUUUGGAGAGACAGCUUAACUGCCAGACUCUCACCUGGCAUUGAUCAGGCAAGAGAAUGAAGAAGAGAGGGUAAGAAAAACCUAUAGAUUUAAAAGACACGUAAGAGAGAAAUCAAUCAAAUUCAGUGUAAUCAAAUUCAGCCUGGCAUUCCUGAUGCAGGGAGGUUGGGGGCUUUCCUGCCCUGCUUAUGUCUGGUUUGCUACCUUCUGUAACAGUGCUGCAUAUUUAAAUAUCCACAUCUGCAUGCAAGUACUGCAACAGAACAUGAAACAAUACUUUCUAGAGCCACAGUCAAUGCAAGAGUGAAAAAGUGUAUUCAAAGCCAUCUGCAACAGAAACAUUUGCCCCUUGUCUUUCAGAUACAAUUUCUGUCAAUGUAGUGUCCGACAGAGUGGAGAAAGUUGUAUUCAGUAAGAAACCACUUUAUUUUCCAUUUGAUUUCCCAGAUUUGUGUAAAAGAGACACCAAACAUUCACUGCCAUUCCCAAUGACCUGAUCUCUGAGAUGAAAUUUUCUAAUUUAGUAAAAAUAUAGAGGAGGAAAAUAAACUUUAACAGGAGGAAGGAUAGACAGCCUAACCUAUAGCUCAAGCUAUGAAACACUAGCCAGAUACAACGACAUCGGCAAAAGAUUACAAAGGAUAUUUCUAUGCCUGAUAAAAUGUCUAUUAAUGUUAAUAUUAAAUAUUUUUUAUAAUUUAAAAAUA